GCUAUAAGGCUCUCCACCUCUCCCCUACAUGUUCACCAGUCCUAUUGAUAGGGUAAAGCUAUAAGGCUCUCCACCUCUCCCCUACAUGUUCACCAGUCCUAUUGAUAGGGUAAAGCUAUAAGGCUCUCCACCU